rnacentral:lncRNA from 1 species
GCGAGGGCAGGAAGCUGCUAGGGUUUACUGUUGUGUAUUCUGGUAUUGGGCCAUUUGGGCUAAGUUGGCUAUUAGGCUGGGGUGUAUUGGGGUAAUUUGGGUUAGGUUUAUAUUGUAUUGGGUUUGUAAAUGGACAUUUGGGCUAAACUUUAAGAUUUUUUUUCUUUUUUAUUUGGUUUAACAAAAUGGGCCGGGCAAAUUGGCCUAUUACAGUGGUCAUAACUAAUUCCUAUUUUAAGUUUCUAUUCAAUCAACUAGUCAUUACCCUAGUAGGAUAUCUCGAUAUUCCGCUAAACUAAUGAGUCAGCAAGAACUAUUUAUCUCUCAACCUCACAGUCUAAAUUGGUUUGGGGCUAAGGUAUUCAAAGAUAGGUCAUAGCAAUUUUCGG